UUACCUCAGAUCAGACGAGGCUACCCGACUAACUUAAGCAGAUCGUUAAGCGGAGGACAAGAAACUAAACAGGAUUCCCUCAGUAGCGCCGAGCGAACAGGGACCAGCUCAGCGCCGAAGCCGACGACGGGCGACCGUCGACGGCGAUGUGGUGCGUAGGCCCGGCGGUUGUGCGAACAACCUGUCGUCGUAGCCUCCCUUGAUCGGGACGUCGGAGAUGGUGCGAGGCCCGUGAGGACGGCGGUUGCCCUCAACGCGCUCGACGGGCUGUCGAGUCGGGUUGCUCGAGAGUGCAGCUGAAAGCGGGUGGUAAAUCCCACCUAGAGCUAAAUACGAGUACGAGACGGAUAGCGAACAAGUACCGCGAGGCAAAGUUCAAAAGAAGUUUGAAGAGAGAGUUCAACAGGACGUGAAACCGUUCGGAAGCAAACCGAUGGAGCUGUCGUCG
rnacentral:ncRNA from 1 species